UAUUCUGGGUAUGCAUGGCUGACUCAACAUUUGGAAAAAAAACUGCUGUAAUUUAACAGGCUAAAGAAAAAUGAUAUCAGUAGAUGUCACAUGUAAGGAUUAGCCAGGUGAGGAAGAUGCGAGUAUGUCAUUCCAACAUCAGAAAAGAACAUGGGUAACUCUGAGGAAAAUAACAUAAUAUAUUUUGGAAGGGGAAAAAUUCAACCUUGUUGGAAGGUAGUGGGCUAGGUGAGGAGUAAUAAGAGCUGUGACUGGUGUUGGCAAAUGUAUUUGGAUAAAGCUCAGGUGGGAGGCCGGCCUACUGUGAUUCCUUAUACCCUCACAGCAUCCUUGGAUAGGAGCUGCAGUGGCCUCUUUCUGUUGUGUUUCAGGUGUAAAGGUUGCUUCUGACCAGGAAGACAAAAGUUAAGGAGCGUUAGGGUUUCAGGGAAAGGAUGGGGGUCAGCAAAGCUAACUCCAAGGCUCAGCCCACCCCUAUCUAGCAGCCGAACAUCUCUCCAUGUACCCCUUUCAGUUUCAUGAUGUAUUCCUGGAGAUGGAUAGGAAGAGGAACAGAUGAAAUGGAGGUGAGACAUCCCUCAGGAAAACAGCUGUGUUGUCAGGUAUGGGGAAGGAAAGAGAGGAGGAUGAAAAUCAAACCCACCUACUCCAGGGCUCAAGGCCAGUCUGGAGGACUGAGGACACUUGGCUUGGAUCUGACAAGGUCUGUGACGUAGCCAAGUCCUGCUUGCUUUACAAGAGAAAUCCCUUUCUCAUGCCCGUAAUUCACUAGGUAAGCAGUUAGUCUCAUUUAAUUUGGGCUGUGAUAUCCUCCUACGACGACCUCUCUGCCCAAACCUGAGUGGGAACCACGGUCCCAUGCUGUGACUCAGUAGUGAUGGAACUCAAAUGGCAUGGGAAGGGAAGGGAAGGGAAGGGAAGGGAAGUAGACUGCUGAGACAGCUUCCUCACUAACACCGGGGAGGGGAACUGCUGUAAGAGAGAAUCAUGGAAACAGGAGACACAUUCACUUGGAAAGUUCUGAUUUUUCCAUUCAAGGAU
rnacentral:lncRNA from 1 species